UACGUAGGGUGCAAGCGUUGUCCGGAAUUAUUGGGCGUAAAGAGCUCGUAGGCGGUUUGUCGCGUCUGCUGUGAAAACUCGGGGCUCAACCCCGGGCCUGCAGUGGGUACGGGCAGACUAGAGUGCGGUAGGGGAGACUGGAAUUCCUGGUGUAGCGGUGAAAUGCGCAGCUAUCAGGAGGAACACCGGUGGCGAAGGCGGGUCUCUGGGCCGUAACUGACGCUGAGGAGCGAAAGCGUGGGGAGCGAACAGG
rnacentral:rRNA from 1 species